AAGUUAAGCUUUUUAGACAUAGGGCAUCCAUUCCCUAGUCGCCUUCUGCCAAUAUUAGGGGUCCAAUCCCUGAGUUGAGCCUUUUAGACAUAGGGCAUCCAUUCCCUAGUCGCCUUUUGCCAACAUUAGGGCUCCAAUCUCUGAGUUGAGCCUUUUAGACAUAGGGCCUCCAUUCCCUAGUCGCCUUUUGCCAACAUUAGGGCUCCAAUCCCUGAGUUGAGCUUUUUAUACAUAGGGCCUCCAUUCCGUAGUCACCUUUUUCCAACUUUAGGGCUCCAAUCCCUGAGUUGAGCCUUUUUAGACAUAGGGCCUCCCUUCCCUAGUCGUCUUUUGCCAACAUUAGGGAUCCAAUCCCUGAGUUGAGCCUUUUUAGACAUAGGGCCUCCAUUCCCUAGUCACCUUUGGCCAAUAUUAGGGCUCCAAUCCCUGAGUUGAGCCUUUUUAGACAUCGUUCCUCCAUUCCCUAGUCGCCUUUUGCCAACAUUAGUGGUCCAAUCCCUGAGUUGAGCCUUUUAGACAUAGGGUAUCCAUUCCCUACUCGCCUUUUGCCAACAUUAGGGCUCCAAUCCCUGAGUUGAGCCUUUUAGACAUAGGGCAUCCAUUCCCUAGUCGCCUUUUGCCAAUAUUAGGGCUCCAAUCCCUGAGUUGAGCCUUUGAGACAUAGGGCCUCCAUUCCCUAGUCGCCUUUUGCCAAUACUAGGGCUCCAAUACCUGAGUUGAGCCUUUGAGACAUAGGGCCUCCAUUCUCUAGUCGCCUGUUGCCAACAUUAGGUCUCCAAUCCUUGAGUUGAGCCUUUUUAGACAUAGGGCCUUCAUUUCCUAGUCGCCUUUUGCCAACAUUAGGGCUCCAAUCCUUGAGUUCAGCCUUUUAGACAUA
rnacentral:lncRNA from 1 species